UAGGGAAUCUUCCGCAAUGGGCGAAAGCCUGACGGAGCAACGCCGCGUGAGUGAUGAAGGUCUUCGGAUCGUAAAACUCUGUUAUUAGGGAAGAACAAAUGUGUAAGUAACUAUGCACGUCUUGACGGUACCUAAUCAGAAAGCCACGGCUAACUACGUGCCAGCAGCCGCGGUAAUACGUAGGUGGCAAGCGUUAUCCGGAAUUAUUGGGCGUAAAGCGCGCGUAGGCGGUUUUUUAAGUCUGAUGUGAAAGCCCACGGCUCAACCGUGAAGGGUCAUUGGAAACUGGAAAACAUGAGUGCAGAAGAGGAAAGUGAAAUUCCAUGUGUAGCGGUGAAAUGCGCAGAGUUAUGGAGGAACACCAGUGGCGAAGGCGACUUUCUGGUCUGUAACUGACGCUGAUGUGCGAAAGCGUGGGGAUCAAACAGG
rnacentral:rRNA from 1 species